AGUUUAUAUAAGAGACGAGUCCUGUAUCUUUGAGAAUAACGUCAUUAAUCAAUUGAUCACCAUUCUUACAGGGUCAAAUAUCUAAAGAAAUUGAAACUCAACCUGUUCAAAAUCUGUAUGCUAUUCAUGUCCAGAAUCGCUUGAUUGAGUGCAAUUUCAUUGUACCCGAAAGCUUAUCUGAUAGAGAUGGGAGGUGGCAUGUAGGAGCUACUGCAACCCUGAUUGACACUAUUGGUGCCUGCUGCACAUACUACUCAUGGAAAUAUCAAUGUUUCUGUUGAUUUUAACAUUUUUUUACUUCUCCACUGCAAAAAUUCAGGAAGAAGUGGAGAUUGAGGCUAAAGUGUUGGGGAAUAAGGGAAAUCUUUCUUCAGUGAUGGUGGUGAUUAUUUGGUUGCUAUAGGUAAACUAUGGAUGUCUGUAUCUGAUCUCAAUCAUAAAAGUAAGAUGUAAUUAUAAGUAAUUAGAAAUUAUUAAUAAUGACAAUUUGAUUACAAAACUAGACUUAUUCUUGAGUGUUUCUUAAUCAAUUGAAGUGAAUACUUUCUGUACUAAUCCUUGAAGUUGAAGUUCUCAGUAGCUAUUAACAUGGUGAUCACAAGGAACUUAAUAAGGUCCUCCUGUACAAUUAAUGUAAGAUUCAAGCUACACUGAUGAAGCUUUAGGUGUAGGAAGCAAUUGUAGGUGAACCAAUCCCAGAGGAGAUAUCACCUGUACUAUUAAUGUACUUAGAGAGGGUCCUGCCAGCAAUCCAUGAUAGCCUAUUCCACACACUCAGAGGUCGUAUUUUGGUACUACGCAAGGUACUGGUUGGUUAGGCUGCAUAUAAAUACCAAGUACCUGGAUCAUGUAAAGCCCUGUGAGUAAAUAAGCUGCAGACAUGGGUGAUGCAGAUGCAAGAAUAUGAGCUCGGUCGCCGUUUGAGAAUUGAGAUUAGUCUCUACUGUUGCUUUGACGCAUUGGCUAUAUUCCAGAAUCCUUAAGUCCAAUCGGAACAACAAGCUUUUUUAGUAUUUGGAGAAAGCCAUUGAACAGGUGCUCUGUACCUUCUAGGUGCAGUAUAUUUGACUGGGGACUGUGUGUAGCAAGAUAUGGCGUCAGCCUUGUGGUGUUUCCAUAAAGCUUCAGAGAAGUUGAAGAAACCAUGGGUUGUUCGUUAACUAGAGUUGUAGGGGUUUAGCAGGGAAAGCUGCCUCAGCCUUCUGAUCAAUGAUUCUAAAGAAUUGCUUAUUUAAGAGGUUGAGAUAGAUAUUCGUUCCCAUUGUCUUUCCUCAAUUCUUUUAAGCAAGAAAAAUAUGUUUGUAGAAGAUUGUUUAUAUUGUGGGUGAACCCUACUUGAACAAAUAACUUCAUUGAUAAGGUGUGUUCUCAACUGUGCAUGGACUAUCCUAAUUCUCCCACUAAAAUUAUGACUGUACUACAUAAUUGUUGUGUUGUUAGGUGCUAAAGUUCCAGAAGCUAUAACAAAGUUCAAUGUCAACUGAUUUUGAUGACUUAUGGGCAAAGGAAUAUAAACUUCCUCAUGGCAGGGUCUUCUGGAAGGGGAUCCCAAUUGAAAGAGCUCUGUCGCAAAUACUAUCUUCCACAAAUAUUGCUAACGAGAAGGAUGUGAAAUUUUGGAAAGACAAAUGGAGGGGGGCUGUUCCUUUGUGUUUGACCCAGAAGAAAAGCCUUUAAAGGAGCUACUCAAAAGGAUGGGAAAUUGGCCGUUCUUAUUCAUCAGGGGAGGUGGGAUAUUCAGUUCAAGAGACAGCCAUCUGAUGAGGAAAUUGGUGAGCUCUCAAAUCUCUUAAACUCUUCUGGGUGAUGCUCCACUUUGCGUAAUGAAGCAGACUGCAUUUCCUGUAGCUCGAUCUCAGAUUAUACAGUUAAAGAGAUACUCUUGGCUCGUGAAUCAGAGAAUGAGGGUGUCUCUCAACCUUUCAAGUAUCGAAGUAUAUGUGAAAGAAGCAUAUUCCUAAGAAGGUUCAUUUAUAUGUCUGGUUUGUGAUGCAAAAUGCUAUCCUGAUAGUCGACAAUUUGAACAAAAGGGGCUGUGAAAUAGCAGAAGUCUACUGUUGUUUUUGCAACAGUAUGGAGGAUACUGGGGAUCAUAUUUUACUGCGCUGUGGGAAAAAGCUAGCUAGAAAGGUGUGUAAGUUGCUUCCCUUUGCAAAUGUGUUGGCUCUGUGGUCUGAAAGGAACAAGAGACUGAUGGCCAAGAAGAUAAGUAGAGAGGCUGAACCGAUCAUCAAAUGAAGCAAAGAGAUUGAUUUUUCAGUGGGGAUCAAAUUAUGCCUUGUUUCAUUUCUUGUCCUUGGAUUUCUUAAUAAACUGGAAGGCUGUAAUGGAUACGAAUCAAGGGAAGAGUGUUUUGUUUCUUCUGGCCUGAGGCUUGGCUUCAGGUUUCU